rnacentral:tRNA from 1 species
GGUGGCUCAGUGGAAGAGUGCUUGCCUUGCAGGCAUGCAGUCCUGGGUUCAAUUCCUCAGCACCA